UAAAAACAGCUUUAGAAAGCUGCAGAUCUCUUGUUUGCAGCCCUUGAGAGCCCUUCCCAUUUAUUCUUAAAUUAGAUUUUCAGUCUGUGCUGGGUAAUAAUUCAGACAUAGACUUCUCAAUGAGUCUCUUUGCUGGAGCUGCGAGCACACACACAAGUAAUCACAGUAAUACAGCUUACUGAGAAGUAGGGAAAACAGGCACAAGCCUUCUAAGCGGAAGAAAACAAAAGGUGUUUCUGCCCCAGUUAUAAAAGUGAUGAUUUAUAUUGAAAUCAGCACUUUUACAAACUGCCACAAAUGUGACAAGCUCCGGACAUAUAAAGCACUUUAGCAAGCUGAGUGUUGCUUUAGGUAAAGGAUUUUCCUGGUAUCAUACCUACUUUAGUCACAAGAUGUCAGUGCUGGAUCAUUUAAACUGCUCAUAGGGUCUAACACCUAUUUAAAGAUCCACAUUAAUGAGCUACUAAAUUCAUAUAAAAUUGUGUAAGAGAUUAUCUAGCAAAUGUAUAGACUAGAAUAGAUUGUUUAGCAGAAUUACAGUGUAAGCGAUGUGUGCAUUCAUUAUAUUUGUACUUUUGUUCAAUGUUUGACUAGCACUAUUUUAGAUAAUAUAUAUUUGGAACAAUUCAUACUAUGCCCAACAGACCUUUUCUACAGUGCUAACUGCACUUGUUACACAUGUCUAUUACAUGUCUAUAACAUUAUCAGCCUGGCAAAGCAUAGUCUCAUUUUUGGUGAAAAGACUUACAUUCUGUCAAGUGAAUUCAAUGUAUAUUUAGUAACAAGCAUACAUUUGCCUUAUUGCAUCCCGAGUGUCCGUAUUUAGGAGGGAUAGUCGCUAUUUUGGGCCCAAAUUCCUCUGUCCCUCUUAUCUCUUCUAAUAUCCCACUGUUCUAGGAGCUCUAAUUUGUUGGUGUAUCUGAAUGUAUAACAGAGCUCCACGGCAAUAAUACAUUAAUGUGUCUUUAAACUACACUUAAUGUGUUGAGAAAUCAG